UGCCUUAUACAUGCAAGUCGAACGAACUCUGGUAUUGAUUGGUGCUUGCAUCAUGAUUUACAUUUGAGUGAGUGGCGAACUGGUGAGUAACACGUGGGAAACCUGCCCAGAAGCGGGGGAUAACACCUGGAAACAGAUGCUAAUACCGCAUAACAACUUGGACCGCAUGGUCCGAGCUUGAAAGAUGGCUUCGGCUAUCACUUUUGGAUGGUCCCGCGGCGUAUUAGCUAGAUGGUGGGGUAACGGCUCACCAUGGCAAUGAUACGUAGCCGACCUGAGAGGGUAAUCGGCCACAUUGGGACUGAGACACGGCCCAAACUCCUACGGGAGGCAGCAGUAGGGAAUCUUCCACAAUGGACGAAAGUCUGAUGGAGCAACGCCGCGUGAGUGAAGAAGGGUUUCGGCUCGUAAAACUCUGUUGUUAAAGAAGAACAUAUCUGAGAGUAACUGUUCAGGUAUUGACGGUAUUUAACCAGAAAGCCACGGCUAACUACGUGCCAGCAGCCGCGGUAAUACGUAGGUGGCAAGCGUUGUCCGGAUUUAUUGGGCGUAAAGCGAGCGCAGGCGGUUUUUUAAGUCUGAUGUGAAAGCCUUCGGCUCAACCGAAGAAGUGCAUCGGAAACUGGGAAACUUGAGUGCAGAAGAGGACAGUGGAACUCCAUGUGUAGCGGUGAAAUGCGUAGAUAUAUGGAAGAACACCAGUGGCGAAGGCGGCUGUCUGGUCUGUAACUGACGCUGAGGCUCGAAAGUAUGGGUAGCAAACAGGAUUAGAUACCCUGGUAGUCCAUACCGUAAACGAUGAAUGCUAAGUGUUGGAGGGUUUCCGCCCUUCAGUGCUGCAGCUAACGCAUUAAGCAUUCCGCCUGGGGAGUACGGCCGCAAGGCUGAAACUCAAAGGAAUUGACGGGGGCCCGCACAAGCGGUGGAGCAUGUGGUUUAAUUCGAAGCUACGCGAAGAACCUUACCAGGUCUUGACAUACUAUGCAAAUCUAAGAGAUUAGACGUUCCCUUCGGGGACAUGGAUACAGGUGGUGCAUGGUUGUCGUCAGCUCGUGUCGUGAGAUGUUGGGUUAAGUCCCGCAACGAGCGCAACCCUUAUUAUCAGUUGCCAGCAUUAAGUUGGGCACUCUGGUGAGACUGCCGGUGACAAACCGGAGGAAGGUGGGGAUGACGUCAAAUCAUCAUGCCCCUUAUGACCUGGGCUACACACGUGCUACAAUGGAUGGUACAACGAGUUGCGAACUCGCGAGAGUAAGCUAAUCUCUUAAAGCCAUUCUCAGUUCGGAUUGUAGGCUGCAACUCGCCUACAUGAAGUCGGAAUCGCUAGUAAUCGCGGAUCAGCAUGCCGCGGUGAAUACGUUCCCGGGCCUUGUACACACCGCCCGUCACACCAUGAGAGUUUGUAACACCCAAAGUCGGUGGGGUAACCUUUUAGGAACCAGCCGCCUAAGGUG
rnacentral:rRNA from 1 species